rnacentral:misc_RNA from 1 species
GCCUUUGUUCUAUUAUUUUUACUUUAGCCGACUAUCUACGUUUAUUGUGUAUUUUUGUACUUUUGCUAUUUUUUAAGCUAGAUGGUUUGUGACGAAGAAUGUUUAACGUUAAUUUUCUGAUUGUCUUUUUUCAUCAUUCAUCUAUGUUCUGUUUUUUAUUUUGUAAAUCACCUCUUUUGUGAUAGAUUCAUAUUUUCUUACUUAUGUAUUAUUUUGUUUUGUUGUGGUUUUUGUUUUUGAUUUUGUACUUUACAACAAUGCAUUGUCUUAUUCAAAUUUUGAUGCCCAAUAUUCUGAAAUUUUGUAAAGGACAAUAUGCUAUAGCGAUUUAACAGUAAAUAAUAUGGGUUAAUUAAUAUUUUUUUAAAAAAUAGCUUGUAGUUUGACAAGUAUCAUUGUUUGGUGUUUUCUUUCAAACAUGUAUAUCAUUUUUUACUUUUUAAUUAGUGGAAUUUUUGUAAAGAAUUAGCCACUGACUUAUAUACAGCUGUAAAUUGUAUUGUAAUAAAUGGCAUUUCUUUG